UCAAAGUGGAAAAGCCACUGGAAGGCAGUAUGACAGAAGCCUGAUUAGGAGUCAGAGCUGUCCCACCAGCUGAAAUCCCGAACCUGCCAAGAAACCAUGCCCCUCCGACAGCACGGAGCUGUCUCCCCACUCCAGGACUCCCGCCUGUCCUUCCCUCAGUCCCCUAGGACAGCUCUUCAGAGACGUGAGUAAAUCGUUAUCUGCCUGGAGACCAUUCUGUCCCAGCGCUUCCCACA
rnacentral:lncRNA from 1 species